rnacentral:rRNA from 1 species
GACGAACGCUGGCGGCGUGCUUAACACAUGCAAGUCGAACGGAAAGGCCCGCUUGCGGGUGCUCGAGUGGCGAACGGGUGAGUAACACGUGGGUAACCUGCCCCCUGCUUCGGGAUAACUCCGGGAAACCGGGGCUAAUACCGGAUAUUCAUUGCUGGCCGCAUGGGUGGUGGUGGAAAGUUUUUUCGGCUGGGGAUGGGCCCGCGGCCUAUCAGCUUGUUGGUGGGGUGAUGGCCUACCAAGGCUUCGACGGGUAGCCGGCCUGAGAGGGCGACCGGCCACACUGGGACUGAGACACGGCCCAGACUCCUACGGGAGGCAGCAGUGGGGAAUAUUGCGCAAUGGGCGGAAGCCUGACGCAGCGACGCCGCGUGAGGGAUGACGGCCUUCGGGUUGUAAACCUCUUUCAGCAGGGACGAAUUGUGACGGUACCUGUAGAAGAAGCACCGGCCAACUACGUGCCAGCCGCCGCCGUAAGAC